rnacentral:lncRNA from 1 species
ACAAAAAGAAUUUUUAGUAAAUGGUAUCAAAAUACCGUUUACUAAAAAUUAAUGAAAUAAAGAGGCCAAACAAAUAAUAUAGAAAUGGUCUGUGUUGAGCAGACUUAACAAAACCCGGGUUCGGUCAGCUUGGUUUACAAAUUUUUAUGUCUACUUAUCUGUUACAAUUUUUAUUUUAGGUUUGUCAUAUGACGCAUUAAUGCAAUAUAAAAGAUCAAAGUUUUCAUAUUUUUUUAAAUUUCUUAUACACGUGUUUGAUUGUAAAUUUAAUUUUUUUUUGUUUGAAACGUAUUUGUACUCAGCUGCUUAGUAGUUCCUGUAUAAUAUAAGUUAACUUAAUCCAUCUUAAUCCUAAAAGUUAAUUAAAGUUCAUGUUAUAAAAAUUAUUUACAAGGAUUUAGUUGAUGCUUUCGUCAAUUUAAAGCAUGAUGAAGUGUUAUUAUUUUGUGUCAGUAAUGAAAAACGUAUUGAGUCGAACUUAGGAAUGUUAAGGAAAAUGGUUUUGCCUUACACUGUUAUGACCUAUAUGAAUUAAUUUUUUCAAGUUGAAGACGUUUUUCUAAAAGGAUAUUAGUUACGGUUUUGCAACAUUAAAUUGUGGAAAACAGCCACUAUAAAUUAGUUACGUAACAGACCUACCAUAACCCGUAUUACAGAUUUAGGAAGGUGUUCAUCUAUGCAUCAUUGUUGGUUACGAAUUGUCAUAAAACAAUAUUAAUUUUCCAUAAAAUAUCUCAGUGCAGAAAAUCUAAAGUUUAAAUUUAAAUUUUACUCUAACUAUGUCAAUUCAAAAAUAAAUUAUUUUGGUAAAAACGCUAAAGAAAGAUACCUCAAAAGAAAGAUACCCCAAAAGAAAGAUAUCCCAAAAGAAAGAUACCCCAAAAAAAAGAUACCCGAAAAGAAAGAUACCCCAAACAAUUUUGUGUAGUACUAGAAAAAUUAAAGAAACCGUUGUAAAAUACUUUGUUGACACAAUUGUAAACGAGAUCAAUCAAAUGGAACUUGACAUAAAAUAGAAAUAUUUAAACAGUUAAACUGUGCGCAGUUUUACAUUGAUUAGUUUUAUCACUUGCUGAGCAUCAAUGUAAUUUAAGUUAACUUUUAUUUGUAUUUUUAUUUAAUUUGUAAACAACAGAAAUUUAGUCUAUCAAAUUUUUAUGAGUAUUAUUCUAUCUUAUCAGUAAUACCUCAUUUUUUUAUAAUUUUCAAUUAUUGUUGCAGUAUGGAAAUCUUACUUAAGUAAUUUAUUGUAUUAUAUAUUAUAUGUAUUACAUAUACUGUUAAGAUGA